UACGGGGGGUGCAAGCGUUGUUCGGAAUUACUGGGCGUAAAGGGCUCGUAGGCGGCCAACUAAGUCAUACGUGAAAUCCCUCGGCUUAACCGGGGAACUGCGUCUGAUACUGGAUGGCUUGAGUUCGGGAGAGGGAUGCGGAAUUCCAGGUGUAGCGGUGAAAUGCGUAGAUAUCUGGAGGAACACCGGUGGCGAAGGCGGCAUCCUGGACCGAUACUGACGCUGAGGAGCGAAAGCCAGGGGAGCAAACGGG
rnacentral:rRNA from 1 species